UAAGGAAUAUUGGACAAUGGAGGCAACUCUGAUCCAGCCAUGCCGCGUGAAGGAAUAAGGCCCUAUGGGUUGUAAACUUCUUUUAGACGGGACAAAACCCCUUUACGUGUAAAGGGUUGAUGGUACUGUCAGAAUAAGCAUCGGCUAACUUCGUGCCAGCAGCCGCGGUAAUACGAAGGAUGCAAGCGUUAUCCGGAAUUAUUGGGUUUAAAGGGUGCGUAGGCGGACUAAUAAGUCAGUGGUGAAAGCCUGCAGCUUAACUGCAGAAUUGCCAUUGAUACUGUUAGUCUUGAGUACAGUUGAGGUAGGCGGAAUGUGUCAUGUAGCGGUGAAAUGCUUAGAUAUGACACAGAACACCGAUUGCGAAGGCAGCUUGCUAAGCUGUAACUGACGCUGAGGCACGAAAGCGUGGGUAGCGAACA
rnacentral:rRNA from 1 species